CUCUUAUCUCCUCUGGUUUCCCUCGCGACGAAACAUGCAUCGGCGUCUACGUGCGUGGGGUACUAGAUAGUGUCUCGCUCGAGAUCAUAUCUUCGCGGCCGCAGCGUCAGCAAUGUCACCGUCUUCGUCGCUCUACUCCGGCCGCCUCCUUUUCUCCCGUCCGGCGUCCAAGGGGCUCGUACGUCGUCUCCUCGCUCGCGAUGGGAGCAGGUGGGUCAGGCCGUCGUGCUCCCUGUCUAUGAACGGUUGCGCAGCCGGCGCCAGCGACUUCGGCGCGGUGACCAUGUGCGAGACGAGGGCCCUGCCGGCCGCGUCGGCGCCGCAGGAGGCCGUGGGGCAGCUCAGGGCCGCCGUCGCCGCGCUCAACGCCGACCCGCCGGCGUCCUCCUCCGGCAUCAUCCGCAUCGAGGUGCCGAUUCGGCAGCGAGGGGACGCCAUCGAGUGGCUGCAAGCGCAGAGGCAGAGCUCCCUGCCCCGCUGCUUCUUCUCCGCCCGGGCACCGCUGCCGGAUACGCCGGCGCUCGCCGUGGGCAGCAGCAGCAACGGCAACGGUAGCCACAAGGAGCAGUGGGAGCAGCCGGUGAGCGUCGCCGGCGUGGGGUCGGCGGUCUUCUUCCGCGGCACGGACCCCUUCUCUCUCCACGACUGGCGAGCCAUCAAGAGAUUUCUUUCAAGGGAUUGCCCGAUGAUCCGCGCCUACGGCGCCAUCCGCUUCGACGCGUCGAGCGACGCCUCGGUCGAAUGGGAAGACUAUGGCGCAUUCUACUUCGUUGUUCCACAAGUUGAGUUCAGUGAGCUCGAGGAGGGCUCGGUUCUAGCGACGACGAUUGCGUGGGAUGACUCGCUUUCUUGGACAUAUCAGAGCGCAGUGGACGAGCUCCAAUCAACAUUGCACGAGAUAUCACCGUGUUCAGUUAAGGUGAACAGGUCCACGCUACAAACCGCCAUCGUAAAUCUCAAUCAUGUCCCCACCAAGGCGUCUUGGGAUCUUGCUGUUACUCAAGCUCUUCGGAUGAUCAAAGGGAGCCAAACGGAAUUAGUCAAGGUUGUGCUAGCAAGGUGCAGCAGGUACAUCACUGAUACUUGCAUCGACCCUCUGGAGCUGUUAGCUUGUCUGAAGGUUGAGGGCCAGAAUGCCUACCAGUUCUGCAUACAGCCAUCUGAUGCUCCUGCAUUUGUUGGAAAUAGUCCAGAGCAACUAUUUCACCGGAAAUACUUGAACAUUUCCAGCGAGGCUUUAGCCGGUACGCGAGCAAGAGGGAAAACAAGGGCUGAUGAUUUUCAAAUUGGCCAGGAAUUGCUUCUAAGCAUCAAAGAGGACACUGAAUUUACUAUUGUACGGGACAGCAUAAAGAAGAAGCUUGAGAUGAUCUGUGAUGAGGUUGUUGUCAAUCCCAGCAAGGCCCUUCGGAAACUUCCAAGAGUACAACAUUUGUCAGCUCAAUUAGCUGCAAGAUUAAGAAAUGAGGACGACGAGUUUGACAUCCUAAAUGCUCUUCAUCCAAGCCCAGCUGUUUGUGGUUUGCCCACUGAAGAAGCGCGCCAAUUCAUACGAGAUUAUGAAAUCUUCGACCGUGGAAUGUAUGCUGGACCUGUUGGUUGGUUUGGUGGAGCUGAAAGUGAGUUUGCUGUUGGGAUUAGAUCAGCACUACUUGGAAAACUGUCUUGUCCAGGGAUAUAGCACUUUAGUUUAUGCCGGUGCCGGGAUUGUCGAAGGUACAAAUCCAUCUUUUGAAUGGGAUGAGCUUGAUCUCAAAGCAUCUCAGUUUGCAAAGUUGUUGCAGUAUCAAGAACAUCAUAUUUGCUACCAAGAGGCAGGAAACAUGGGGACAUUGAUUUGAACUGUAACUAGGAAGUUUUGAUUUGUUGGGAAGAUUCCAAAUGGAGUUCAUAUCUGUUUAUGUGCGUGCGUUGUAAACUUCAAAAGAUUUCAGCCUGAUUUGCAUGGCUCUUGAAGAUGCAAUCACAGAAAUAUCGAAAUAUCGAUUCGAGGAGAUGACAGUGAUGAUAGUCGUGGAGCGUACAAAAGAUUAAAUAAAAGCAUAUUAAAUAAUUAUGUACAAUGAUUGUAACAAGUCAGUUUAGUGCAAAGUGUAUAUUACCAUUCUUUUGACUUCUUCUCUGGCCUUGUCCAAUUGCUUAUAUGAUCUGGAUGCUUCUUGUUGCAAGCAUAAUGUACCUGAUGCAUUAUUUUCAUCUGAUGGGCAAUGACAUAGAUCAUUCAUUUA